AACGAACGCUGGCGGCAGGCUUAACACAUGCAAGUCGAACGGGUGUAGCAAUACAUCAGUGGCAGACGGGUGAGUAACACGUGGGAACCUUCCUAGGGGUACGGAACAACUCAGGGAAACUUGAGCUAAUACCGUAUACGUCCGUGAGGAGAAAGAUUUAUCGCCCUUAGACGGGCCCGCGUCGGAUUAGCUAGUUGGUGGGGUAACGGCCUACCAAGGCGACGAUCCGUAGCUGAUCUUAGAGGAUGAUCAGCCACACUGGGACUGAGACACGGCCCAGACUCCUACGGGAGGCAGCGGUGGGGAAUCUUGGGCAAUGGGCGCAAGCCGGAUCCAGCCAUGCCGCGUGAGUGAAGAAGGUCUUCGGAUUGUAAAGCUCUUUUGCCAGGGACGAUAAUGACGGUACCUGGAGAAUAAGCCCCGGCAAACUUCGUGCCAGCCGCCGCGGUAA
rnacentral:rRNA from 1 species